rnacentral:snRNA from 1 species
AUUACUUCUUGGCCUUUUUGCUAAAAUCAAAUGUAGUAUUCCUUCAGUUUAAUUUCUGAUAUAUCCUCCAUCUGAGUACAAUAUAUAAAUGGAUUUUUGGAGAAGGAGGUGUAAUAGGAGCCUGCUCUGUCCACUCCAUGAAUUGAGCUGGCAUUGCAGUACCUCCAAGAACAGCACACCCCCA